AAUCAACACCAUACAGUAAACCAUAGCCAGAUAAAUGAUUAGCAGCUAGUUUUCUUAGCUCCUUCUCCCAUGCUCUAACCAUGAUACCAUACUGAAACUUGAUAUUAAUCUUGUGCUUGCUCCAGCCUUAGUUUUGAUUGUUAAAAAUUGAUUAGGAAGAAGUCACUUCUGCCUUAAAGAUUAAAGCAAGUAUGUAAGAUGGUAGCCAAAUCACAUGUAAAUGACUCUCUUAAUAAGAGUCCUCACAUUUGUUAUGAGCACUUUUAGCAAACGAGAAGACAAUUAUAAGAUUGUUUAAGUUUUAUAAUGGUAAAUAAUGGUAUGUGAUAGGGUCAAGCCCCAUGUAGUGCAGAUGCCAUUUCCCCCCUUUGUUAAGCAAAAGGAGCAUGCUGGAAAAGAGGUAGAAACAAUUCUCAGGGAAAUUUGUUUUAGAUUAGUGCAAACACCAGCUGCCUUGUUGUCUGUUCACCUGCCUUCUUCUGCUGGAGGUGCAGCCCCUGAAGAAGUCUGUUUGGAACCACUCUUACUAGUUUGCUUUUAUUUCUUGGUUUUAUCGGUACAGAUAUUCUGAGCACCCCAAAAAAGCAUAACUCUCAACCAAUGGUUAAAACUCUUAGACCCCUCCAAUCCUGAAAGCUGUUCCACCAGGGCAAACCCCAUUGAAAUCAGUGAGGCUCUAGACACAUGGUCUAACUUGCAGGAUUGUAGCCAUGUUUCAUUUCCAGAUUGGUAAAGGAGAAAGACUGCUACAACUGAAAAGAAAUUUGAAUGACUCCUUUGUGAACUACUUAAAGGGAUGUAUUCUGGUAUCUGGAUGCCUCAGACACACACCAGUGGGAUUCAAGUUUCCUCUUAAAUAAGAUCAAAUGCAUGAGUGAAUAUCUCAAGGCAUUGGCCACUGUGAUUUUAUUAAUUUUCUUACAGUUUAAUCCAAAAGAAAUUCAGCACCAAAAGGGCCCAAUCCAAUGUUCCAGGAGCCCUGGACCUACACUGAGAAACACAAUAAUAUAGGAGCCGCAAAAUAUCAAUCACCCAGAGCAGCAGCAUCUUUUCCUUCCACCCAACUCUACAUCAUUUAAGCACUAGGCAUAUGACCUAUACAGCUUGAACCUCCAUUUCACUUUCUCACAAGAGAAGAGUUCCUUUGAAGAUUUGACCCCACCAAGAUCUGAUCAGGAGGCUGCCCCUCCUAACCUCAAAGGAGGUGGUGGAAAUCCAAGUGGAAUAGCUGAAACAAAGUACUGGGGAAGAGUUAAAGCUUAAACUCUGAAGCAGAGAAGCAGAGUUUUCAGCAAAACAGACUGUAACCUGUCCCCAGAAGAGUGGAGGUAGCAGGUAUAAAUUGAGCUGACCUGUCUUGAGGGAAAUGCUAAACUUAGGUAAAACAACAUGUCUUUCGUUAUGUUAAACCCUUUGCUUUCUGAUUGCUAUAUUCCUAUGGAUAAAUAAAUAAUAUUUUGUUUUG